UUUUGACCUCAAAUCAGGCAAGACUACCCGCUGAACUUAA
rnacentral:rRNA from 1 species